GACGAACGCUGGCGGCGUGCUUAACACAUGCAAGUCGAACGGAAAGGCCCUGCUUUUGUGGGGUGCUCGAGUGGCGAACGGGUGAGUAACACGUGAGUAACCUGCCCUUGACUUUGGGAUAACUUCAGGAAACUGGGGCUAAUACCGGAUAGGAGCUCCUGCUGCAUGGUGGGGGUUGGAAAGUUUCGGCGCUUGGGGAUGGACUCGCGGCUCAUCAGCUUGUUGGUGGGGUAGUGGCUUACCAAGGCUUUGACGGGUAGCCGGCCUGAGAGGGUGACCGGCAACAUUAGGGUUGUGAUACAGCCCAGAUUCCUACAGGAGGCAACAAGGAGGAAAAUCGCGCGAUGGACGGAAGCCUGAUGCAGCAACACCGGGUGCGGGAUGACGGCCUUUGGGUUAGAAACCGCUUUCGCCAGUAACGAAGCGUGAGUGACGGUAAUGGGUAAAGAAGCACCGACUAACUACGUG
rnacentral:rRNA from 1 species